rnacentral:rRNA from 1 species
GAUGAACGCUGGCGGCGUGCCUAAUACAUGCAAGUAGAACGCUGAAGGAGGAGCUUGCUCUUCUGGAUGAGUUGCGAACGGGUGAGUAACGCGUAGGUAACCUGCCUGGUAGCGGGGGAUAACUAUUGGAAACGAUAGCUAAUACCGCAUGACAACAGUUAUUGCAUGAUAACUGUUUAAAAGGGGCAACUGCUCCACUACCAGAUGGACCUGCGUUGUAUUAGCUAGUUGGUGAGGUAACGGCUCACCAAGGCGACGAUACAUAGCCGACCUGAGAGGGUGAUCGGCCACACUGGGACUGCGACACGGCCCAGACUCCUACGGGAGGCAGCCGUAGGGAAUCUUCGGCAAUGGACGGAAGUCUGACCGAGCAACGCCGCGUGAGUGCAGAAGGUUUUCGGAUCGUAAAGCUCUGUUGUAAGAGAAGAACGAGUGUGAGAGUGGAAAGUUCACACUGUGACGGUAUCUUACCAGAAAGGGACGGCUAACUACGUG